rnacentral:rRNA from 1 species
GGAUGAACGCUGGCGGCGUGCCUACUACAUGCAAGUCGAGCGAACAGAUGAGGAGCUUGCUCCUCUGACGUUAGCGGCGGACGGGUGAGUAACACGUGGAUAACCUACCUAUAAGACUGGGAUAACUUCGGGAAACCGGAGCUAAUACCGGAUAAUAUAUUGAACCGCAUGGUUCAAUAGUGAAAGACGGUUUUGCUGUCACUUAUAGAUGGAUCCGCGCCGCAUUAGCUAGUUGGUAAGGUAACGGCUUACCAAGGCAACGAUGCGUAGCCGACCUGAGAGGGUGAUCGGCCACACUGGAACUGAGGCACGGUCCAGACUCCUACGGGAGGCAGCAGUAGGGAAUCUUCCGCAAUGGGCGAAAGCCUGACGGAGCAACGCCGCGUGAGUGAUGAAGGUCUUCGGAUCGUAAAACUCUGUUAUUAGGGAAGAACAAAUGUGUAAGUAACUAUGCACGUCUUGACGGUACCUAAUCAGAAAGCCACGGCUAACUACGUG